rnacentral:rRNA from 1 species
CCUACGGGAGGCAGCAGUGGGGAAUUUUGGACAAUGGGCGCAAGCCUGAUCCAGCAAUGCCGCGUGAGUGAAGAAGGCCUUCGGGUUGUAAAGCUCUUUUGUCAGGGAAGAAACGGUCUGUUCUAAUACAGCGGGCUAAUGACGGUACCUGAAGAAUAAGCACCGGCUAACUACGUGCCAGCAGCCGCGGUAAUACGUAGGGUGCAAGCGUUAAUCGGAAUUACUGGGCGUAAAGCGUGCGCAGGCGGUUUUGUAAGUUUGUCGUGAAAUCCCCGGGCUCAACCUGGGAAUGGCGAUGAAGACUGCAAGGCUAGAGUUUGGCAGAGGGGGGUAGAAUUCCACGUGUAGCAGUGAAAUGCGUAGAUAUGUGGAGGAACACCGAUGGCGAAGGCAGCCCCCUGGGUCAAAACUGACGCUCAUGCACGAAAGCGUGGGGAGCAAACAGGAUUAGAUACCCUGGUAGUCCACGCCCUAAACGAUGUCUACUAGUUGUCGGGUCUUAAUUGACUUGGUAACGCAGCUAACGCGUGAAGUAGACCGCCUGGGGAGUACGGUCGCAAAGAUUAAAACUUCAAAUGAAUUGACGGNUUGAGACGNGCGAGAGACACAGGAGAGG